rnacentral:rRNA from 1 species
GACGAACCGUGCGAACGUUAUUCGGAAUCAUUGGGCUUAAAGGGCGCGUAGGCGGCGCGAGCAGUCGAUCGUGAAAGUCCGGAGCUCAACUCCGGAUCGGCGGUCGAUACUCUCGUGCUUGAGCACUGUAGAGGCAGAUGGAAUUCCGGGUGUAGCGGUGGAAUGCGUAGAGAUCCGGAAGAACACCGGUGGCGAAGGCGGUCUGCUGGGCAGUUGCUGACGCUGAUGCGCGACAGCGUGGGGAGCAAACAGG